rnacentral:rRNA from 1 species
ACUAGUUAACCUACCUCAAAGAGGAAAAUAUUCUCCCGAAAGGAAGAUUAAGACCGCAUAAAAUGUUUUGAUCGCAUGAUCGAAACAUCAAAGGAUGCAUCCGCUUUGAGAUGGACCCGCGGGCAUUAGCUAGUUGGUGAGGUAACGGCUCACCAUGGCGACGAUGCGUAGCCGACCUGAGAGGGUGAUCGGCCACAUUGGAACUGAGACACGGUCCAGACUCCUACGGGAGGCAGCAUCUGGGGAAUAUUGCGCAAUGGGGGAAACCCUGACGCAGCAACGCCGCGUGAAUGAUGAAGGCCUUCGGGUUGGAAUUAUCUGUCUUCUGGGACAAUAAUGACGGUACCAGAGGAGGAAGCCACGUGUAACUGCUUGCGACCGACCACGGUAAUACGUAGGUGUUCAGCGUUGUCCGGAUUUACUGGGCGUAAAGGAUGCGUUCUUCGACAUUUAAGUCAGAUGUGAAAUACGCGAGCUUAACUUGGCGGCUGCAUUUGAAACUGUUUGUCUAGAGUGCUUGAGAGGUAAGUGCAAUUCCUAGUGUAGCGGUGAAUGCGUAGAGAUUAGGAAAAACGCCAUUGGCAAAGGCGACUUACUGGACUGUA